GUAGUAGAUUGAAGGGAUUAAAGUACAAGACUUGCUAUGUAUUAAAACUAUGUCUAAGCAUAUGCAUAAGUUAAAACCAACAAGAGUGGAAAGAGAUAUUCCAUGCAAAUGGCACUAAAGAUACCACGAGUUCUUAUAUCAGACAAAAGAGAUUUUAAGGCAAAAACUGUAAAAAUGGACAAAGAACACUAUGUAAUUAUAAAAUGAUCAAUUCACUAGUAAGAUAUAACAAUGAUAAAUUCAUACACACCUAACAUGAGACACCCAAAAACAUGAAGCAGAUGCUGAAAGAACUGAAGGGGGAAAUGGGCAAUGACACAACAGUGGGAAGCUACAGCACCUCACUUUCAGUAAGAACAGAACAAGCAAAACAUGGUGGAAACAGUGGAUCUGAACACUAGAGACCAACUGAAAGUAACAAACAUACAGAGCAUUCCACCCAAUAGCAGCAAAAAAAAAAAAAAAAAAAACACACAGAGUUUUCUAGUGCAUAUGGAAUAUUCUCCAAGAUAAGAACACAAGUUAGUCCACAAAAUAAUCUUAACAAAUUUAAGAAGAUUGAAUUCAUACAAGUAUAUUCUCCGACAACCAAGGAGACACAUUAAAAAAGAAACGCCAAUCCUUCCCAAACUCUUUGAAAGACUAAAAAGAGGAGAUUAUAAGUCAGUAUUACCCUGACACAACAAUACAAGAGAACUGCAGCCAGUAUUCCUUAUAAAUAUUGAUGUAAAAAUUCUCAACAAGAUACUAGAAAAUUGAAUUCAACAGUACAUCAAAAGGAUUAUACACCAUGACCAAGUGGCACUUAUUCCUGGAAUUCAGAAUGGUUCAACAUACAAAAAUCAAUCUAUGUAAUACACCAUGGUAAGAAGAUGAAGGGCAAAACCCACAUAAUCACCUCACUUGAUGCAAAUAAAAUUCAACUCUAUUUCAUAAUAUAGACUCCAUAAUCCAGGAAGAGAAGGAAACUACCUCAAUAUAAUAAAAGCCCCAGAUAAAAAGACCAUAGUUAGGGCUGGGGCUGUGGCUCAGUUGUAGAGCACUUGCCUAGCAUGUCUGAGGCACUGGGUUUGAUUCUUAGCACCACAUAUAAAUAAAUGAAUAAAAUUAAGGUCCAUCAACAACUAAAAAAUCUAUAAAUAAAAAAAAGACUACAGUUAACAUCAUACUUAACAAAGACUGAACUCUAUUCCUGUAAGAUCAUGAACAGGGGAAGAAUGUCCUUGUCACCAUUGCUCAACNACAGUAAGACCAAGGGAAGUCCAGAAACAAAAAACAGUGUAUUUUAAACAAUUAGUUCUGGGACAAUUAGAUCUCUUUAAGUGAAAAUAAAAAAUUGGAGGGGAAAAAAUGUAAAUUGAAAUCCAAUUUUAUACAAUCAAUUCCAGUGGAUUAAAGACCCAACCAUGAAAGGUAAAAGUACAAAGCUUUGGGCUGGGAUCGUAGCACAGUGGAACAGUGCUUGCCUAGAGGGGCACUGGGUUCAACCCUCAGCACCACAUAAAAUAAAUAAAAUAAAGGUCCAUCAG
rnacentral:lncRNA from 1 species